UUGGAGCUGAGACUGAAUUGGCAUUUUUAGUCUGGGCUGGCCAUUAGAAUGGGGAGAUUAUGAGCUCAGAAGGUGUGACGUGGAAUGUAACUGGAUUAUACAGAAAGAAUUAUUGAAAGGAGAAUGAACAGACGUGUCAAGUGAAGUGGAGACAGCGCCCUAAACUAAUUAAAGAGUAGCACUAUGUGUCUCAGAGGGUGAAAGAAGAUGGAGGAACGCCUCUGAGACUGAGGAAAGGAGUAGAGCUGCUAGAUCUGAAAUGCAGACUAAAACAGCAGGAAAAAUGGAACAACGCGUGGACACUCUGGACUGCUGACCAAAUGCUGGAGAGGCUUCCUCUGCUCUCUGGUAUCCUCUUGGAUAGGCUUAGCUGCCCUUAGGUUUUUUAAUUUGUCCCAGAAACCUUUAAAUG
rnacentral:lncRNA from 1 species